rnacentral:lncRNA from 1 species
CCAAACCAAUCAACCAUUCCCUUACUCCAAUGCUGCUCUUAUCCCCUGAAUUCACUCCUUCAUUAUUGAGGUCAUCGUGAUGGUCUCUGCUUUCGGACACUCUAGUCCUAAUCCCCCUCCAAUCCCAAUACUGAAGGCCCAUGUGUUUCAUAGAGUUUACAGGGCUAUGCUCUUUUACUGGGCUUCCCGAGCCCGGUGACGGCUCGAAUUCCCGAAACUCUUGAUCCCAAUACUGAAGGCCCAUGUGUUCCAUAGAGUUUACAGGGCUAUGCUCUUUUACUGGGCUUUCCGAGCCCGGUGACUGCUCGAAUUCCCUAAACUCUUCGUUAUCAUUGUUGUCUUCCCUGAAAGAGUUUGCUUC